rnacentral:lncRNA from 1 species
AGGCGUUGUGAAGCACCCAGAAAACUGCUUAAUGGGGGUGAGGAUGAUCAUCCACUAAUAAUUUACAGACAAUAUAGACAGACUUAGAAGAGAUGUUACUUUAUGGGACAGACUUAAAAAUCCAUUCCUGAUGGGGACUCCAAAAGUACCCAGAGGCCUGCUUCUGCUUCUGUUGUUGUUUCUCUCUCUCUCUCUCUCUCUCUCUCUCUCUCUCUCUCUCUCUCCCUCUCUUUCACUCUUUUAGAAAACCACACACACACACAAAAAAAAAAAUCAAAGCAGGCAAAUAAAAAGAUUAUGGGUAAUUCAGUGUCUGUUCCUAAGAACUCACCAUUUGUGUGUGCAAUAAAUAAUUGGAAUUAUUUUAAAGCAGAGUACUUAAAGAAAAAUGAAAUUGAUUUUUUUUUCCCUAUAACAUGGUGUAGCCCCCAAUAUAAAUCAGAGAAUGAAUGCUUGUUCUGAAAAUGGGAAAGGAAAUGAACAGAGACCUGACUCUGGGUUUCUACCACUGCUGUUUAUUUUAAAGACCAAUUCUUCAAGGUCCAUCUUUCAAACUCACUUGGGACUAAAGGCAGGAGAAUAAAUCUUCCCCUUUGUUUAAAUAUUUUUAUUAGUUGUUGAUGGACCUUUAUUUUAUUUACCUAUUUUUAUGCAGUGCUGACACUUGAACCCAGUACCUCACAUAUGCUAGGCAAGUGCUCUACCACUGAGCCAAACCCAGCCCUAAAUCUUCCUUUUUAAAGGGUCCUAAAGAGGGGCUGGAGUUGUGGCUCAGCGGUAGAGUGCUCACCUAACAUGUGCGAAUCACCUGGGUUCGAUCCUCAGCACCACAUAAAAAUAAGUAUAUAAAUAAAAUAAGGGUAAAAAAAAAUAAAGGGUCCUAAAGAGGGGAAUAAAUAGUGGUGAUGUUGGACAUGGACCUAUCUCAUCGAUGGACAAUGGCCACCUGAAUCAUUGCUUCAGUGUCCAACAUGGUUGAUAGACAAGGCCAUCCCCAACUGUAUUGGCCUCCCGAAUUUUAUAACCUAUUGCUCAC